rnacentral:rRNA from 1 species
GGGUGAGUAACACGUAUCCAACCUGCCCCAUACUCCGGCAUAGCCUGCCGAAAGGCAGAUUAAUUCCGGAUGAAGUCGCGCGAUCUCCUGGUAUCGCGACCAAAGGUUUAAUCCGGUAUGGGAUGGGGAUGCGUUCCAUUAGGCAGUAGGCGGGGUAACGGCCCACCUAGCCAUUGAUGGAUAGGGGUUCUGAGAGGAAGGCCCCCCACAUUGGAACUGAGACACGGUCCAAACUCC